UUCAUGCAUGCGGCCCAUUCCUUUGAUUACUUGUUGACUAGGCUCAUGAGGCAUAGAUAGCUGCUCAGUCCUCACACUGCUGUAGUGUCUGCAGGAGGCAGUUUCGGUGCCUGGGAUCAGGGAUUCUGCAGUUUCUCACAAAUGGAGUAAUCUGGCUCCUGUUGCUGAGGAUGACACGCUGCUACCAGCCUCUCCAGACCUUGUCCUCCUAUCAGGCUCCACUUACAGUCGCCUGAGACUGGCUGAUCUCCUCUCUGAAGGCCUAAGGAAGGUCAUAUCAGGCUGUGUGACAUGCACUACAGCGAGGACAGAUUCUACCAUAGGCUGGUUUUUGAGAUGUGUCAGUCCAUGGACCCACCUGGUGGAAUGGAUAAGACACUGCAGCACCUGAUCUCCAGGCAAGCAGAAAGCUGCUGCUCUGUGGGGAAAGGGACAGAGACCAUCAAAAGGCGGCAGUCUGAUGGCAAGCUGGGAGGGAAUCCAGCCAACCUGGAUAUGAAAUCAACAUGUGCGUCCUUUCACUUGAUCAAAUGAUUUCUACCAGAGUCAUUCAGGCUUUCUGAAUUUAUUUGGAGAAUGUAUGGAAAAAUAUAAAACCCAUAGUCCAAAAUUGAGAUUGCCA